AACGAACGCUGGCGGCAGGCUUAACACAUGCAAGUCGAACGCCCCGCAAGGGGAGUGGCAGACGGGUGAGUAACGCGUGGGAACGUACCUUUCAGUUCGGAAUAACUCAGGGAAACUUGUGCUAAUACCAGAUACGCUCGCAAGAGGAAAGAUUUAUCGCUGAAAGAUCGGCCCGCGUUGGAUUAGCUAGUUGGUGGGGUAAUGGCCUACCAAGGCGACGAUCCAUAGCUGGUCUGAGAGGAUGAUCAGCCACACUGGGACUGAGACACGGCCCAGACUCCUACGGGAGGCAGCAGUGGGGAAUAUUGGACAAUGGGCGAAAGCCUGAUCCAGCCAUGCCGCGUGAGUGAUGAAGGCCUUAGGGUUGUAAAGCUCUUUCACCGAUGAAGAUAAUGACGGUAGUCGGAGAAGAAGCCCCGGCUAACUUCGUGCCAGCCGCCGCCGUAA
rnacentral:rRNA from 1 species